AACGAACGCUGGCGGCAUGCCUAACACAUGCCAGUCGAACGAGACCUUCGGGUCUAGUGGCGCACGGGUGCGUAACGCGUGGGAACCUGCCCUUAGGUUCGGAAUAACUCCCCGAAAGGGGUGCUAAUACCGGAUAAUGUCUUCGGACCAAAGAUUUAUCGCCUUUGGAUGGGCCCGCGUUGGAUUAGCUAGUUGGUAGGGUAAAAGCCUACCAAGGCGACGAUCCAUAGCUGGUCUGAGAGGAUGAUCAGCCACACUGGGACUGAGACACGGCCCAGACUCCUACGGGAGGCAGCAGUGGGGAAUAUUGGACAAUGGGCGAAAGCCUGAUCCAGCAAUGCCGCGUGAGCGAUGAAGGCCUUAGGGUUGUAAAGCUCUUUUACCCGGGAUGAUAAUGACAGUACCGGGAGAAUAAGCUCCGGCUAACUCCGUG
rnacentral:rRNA from 1 species